rnacentral:rRNA from 1 species
ACGAACGCUGGCGGCGUGCUUAACACAUGCAAGUCGAACGGAAAGGCCCUGCUUUUGUGGGGUGCUCGAGUGGCGAACGGGUGAGUAACACGUGAGUAACCUGCCCUUGACUUUGGGAUAACUUCAGGAAACUGGGGCUAAUACCGGAUAGGAGCUCCUGCUGCAUGGUGGGGGUUGGAAAGUUUCGGCGGUUGGGGAUGGACUCGCGGCUUAUCAGCUUGUUGGUGGGGUAGUGGCUUACCAAGGCGUUGACGGGUAGCCGGCCUGAGAGGGUGACCGGCCACAUUGGGACUGAGAUGCGGCCCAGACUCCUACGGGAGGCAGCAGUGGGGAAUAUUGCACAACGGGCGGAAGCCUGAUGCAGCAACGCCGCGUGCGGGAUGACGGCCUUCGGGUUGUAAACCGCUUUCGCCUGUGACGAAGCGUGAGUGACGGUAAUGGGUAAAGAAGCACCGGCUAACUACGUG